rnacentral:rRNA from 1 species
ACGUAGGGGGCGAGCGUUGUCCGGAAUUACUGGGCGUAAAGGGUGCGUAGGCGGUUGCUUAAGUUGGAUGUGAAAUACCCGGGCUUAACUUGGGGGGGGCAUUCGAAACUGGGCAACUAGAGUUCAGGAGAGGGAAGCGGAAUUCCUAGUGUAGGGGUGAAAUGCGUUAAUACUAGGAGGAACACCUGUGGCGAAGGCGUCUUACUGGACCGGCACUGACAGUGAGGAACGAAAGCUUGGGGAGCAAACAG